ACGCAUCUGUGCAUGCAGCAUAUCAAUAAGCGGAGGAAAAGAAAGCUAACAAGGAUUCCCCUAGUAACGGCGAGUGAAGCGGGAAGAGCUCAAAUUUGAAAUCUUAAAGGGUUUCCCUUUACGAAUUGUAGUUUAAAGAAGUGUUUUCUGUUGAGGUUUUGGUAAAAGUUCUUUGGAAUAGGACAUCAUAGAGGGUGAGAAUCCCGCUAUUUGACCUUUACUUUCAACUUUGUGAUACACUUUCAAAGAGUCGGAUUGUUUGGGAAUGCAGUCCAAAAUGGGUGGUAAAUUUCAUCUAAAGCUAAAUAUUGGCGAGAGACCGAUAGCGAACAAGUACCGUGAGGGAAAGAUGAAAAGAACUUUGAAAAGAGAGUUAAACAGUACGUGAAAUUGUCAAAAGGGAAGCGUUUGACACCAGUGUUGUUUUUCUGAAAAUCAAUUAAAGAACUGUUUAUGCUAAGCUGUUUAGACUUUAUCAGCUAACUGUUUAGUUUUGAGCUUUUCUUUAAUGCACUUUUCAGUUAACAAGUCAACAAUCAAUUUCUUUUGCUGUAAAAAAGCUUGAGGAAGGUGGCUUGAGAUUCGUCUUAAGUGUUUAUAGCCUCUUGCCUAUGCAGUCGGAGAGAUUGAGGUCUGCAGCGUAGAUCCUUCGGGGCUAAAUGCAUUUGUGCUAAGUUAUAGCAUUUUAUAGACAACUUGUUGACUAUGAUUUGUCUUGUAGCUUACUCGCUUAUGUUAUUUUACCUACGCUUAGGAUGUUGAGUCAUCACACAUCUCU
rnacentral:rRNA from 1 species